UACAGAGGGUGCAAGCGUUAAUCGGAAUUACUGGGCGUAAAGCGUGCGUAGACGGUUACAUAAGUCGGGUGUGAAAGCCCCGGGCUCAACCUGGGGAAUUGCAUUCGAGACUGCGUAGCUAGGGUGCGGAAGAGGGAAGCGGAAUUUCCGGUGUAGCGGUGAAAUGCGUAGAUAUCGGAAGGAACACCAGUGGCGAAAGCGGCUUCCUGGUCCAGCACCGACGUUCAGGCACGAAAGCGUGGGGAGCAAACAGG
rnacentral:rRNA from 1 species